GUGCUUGCUUUGGUGACACAUCCGCUAAAAUUGGAAUGAUACAGGGAAAAUUAGCAUGACCACUGAACAAGGUGGACACACAAAUAUGUGAAGUGUUCCAUAUUUUA
rfam:Calypte anna contig34712, whole genome shotgun sequence.